AUGAACGCUGGCGGCGUGCCUCAUACAUGCAAGUCGAGCGAACAGACGAGGAGCUUGCUCCUUUGACGUUAGCGGCGGACGGGUGAGUAACACGUGGGUAACCUACCUAUAAGACUGGGAUAACUUCGGGAAACCGGAGCUAAUACCGGAUAAUAUUUCGAACCGCAUGGUUCGAUAGUGAAAGAUGGCUUUGCUAUCACUUAUAGAUGGACCUGCGCCGUAUUAGCUAGUUGGUAAGGUAACGGCUUACCAAGGCAACGAUACGUAGCCGACCUGAGAGGGUGAUCGGCCACACUGGAACUGAGACACGGUCCAGACUCCUACGGGAGGCAGCAGUAGGGAAUCUUCCGCAAUGGGCGAAAGCCUGACGGAGCAACGCCGCGUGAGUGAUGAAGGUCUUCGGAUCGUAAAACUCUGUUAUUAGGGAAGAACAAACGUGUAAGUAACUGUGCACGUCUUGACGGUACCUAAUCAGAAAGCCACGGCUAACUACGUG
rnacentral:rRNA from 1 species